rnacentral:lncRNA from 1 species
UGGUGAGCUACAAGGAAUGCCUCAAGAACCAUGCAGCCACUUUGGGUGGACAUGCUUUAGACGGCUGUGGUGAAUUCAUGCCUUCCCCAUCAGCCACCCCAUCCGACCCAACUUCCCUCAAGUGUGCAGCUUGUGGUUGCCACCGCAACUUCCACCGCCGAGAAUCAGAUGACCCACCACCCACAACAACAGCCACCGCUACUAUUGAAUAUCAGCCUCACCACCGUCACCAUCCACCGCCUCCAGCAAGUCAAGCACCACAUCGUAGUCCAAACUCAGCUUCC